rnacentral:rRNA from 1 species
CAGUAGCCGCGGGAAUACAGAGGGUGCGAGCGUUAAUCGGAAUUACUGGGCGUAAAGCGUGCGUAGGUGGUGGUUUAAGUCCGUUGUGAAAGCCCUGGGCUCAACCUGGGAAUUGCAGUGGAUACUGGGUCACUAGAGUGUGGUAGAGGAUAGUGGAAUUUCCGGUGUAGCAGUGAAAUGCGUAGAGAUCGGAAGGAACAUCUGUGGCGAAGGCGACUAUCUGGGCCAACACUGACACUGAGGCACGAAAGCGUGGGGAGCAAACAGGAUUAGAUACCCCCGUAGUCCCUGUCUCUUAUAC